CCCUUAGAUGUUCUGGGCCGCACGCGCGCUACACUGAUGAAUUCAACGAGCACUAACCUGUGCAGAAAUGUUCGGGUAAUCUUGUGAAAUUUCAUCGUGAUGGGGAUUGAUUAUUGCAAUUAUUAAUCAUAAACGAGGAAUGCCUAGUAAGCGUGAGUCAUCAGCUCACGUUGAUUACGUCCCUGCCCUUUGUACACACCGCCCGUCGCUCCUACCGAUUGAAUGAGCUGGUGAAAAGUUCGGAUUGGGAAUAGGAGACGGCAACGUAUCCUGUUUCUGAGAAAAUCUUUAAACCCUCCCAUUUAGAGGAAGGAGAAGUCGUAACA
rnacentral:rRNA from 1 species